AAGCUGCUGGGGGUGGAGGUGGGGGUGUGAUGGGCAGGGGGUGGCACCCGGGCUGGGCCCAGGGCCUGAUGCCACCUCCCACCCUAGAACAUCUCAUCCAACGUGCUGGAGGAGUCU
rnacentral:precursor_RNA from 12 species